rnacentral:rRNA from 1 species
GACGAACGCUGGCGGCGCGCCUAACACAUGCAAGUCGAACGGAGCGUACGGGAAGAAGCCUUCGGGUGGAAUUUUGUAUUGCUUAGUGGCGAACGGGUGAGUAACACGUGAAUAACCUACCUCGGAGUGGGGGACAACAUUUGGAAACAGAUGCUAAUACCGCAUAAGACCCCGGUACCGCAUGGUACUGAGGCCAAAGGAGCAAUUCGCUCUGAGAUGGAUUCGCGCCUGAUUAGCUAGAUGGUGGGGUAACGGCCUACCAUGGCGACGAUCAGUAGCCGGACUGAGAGGUUGAACGGCCACAUUGGGACUGAGACACGGCCCAGACUCCUACGGGAGGCAGCAGUGGGGAAUAUUGCACAAUGGGCGAAAGCCUGAUGCAGCGACGCCGCGUGAGGGAAGAAGGUUUUCGGAUUGUAAACCUCUGUCUUCGGGGACGAUAAUGACGGUACCCGAGGAGGAAGCCACGGCUAACUACGUGCCAGCAGCCGCGGUAA